rnacentral:lncRNA from 1 species
CCAUAUGUCCAUCGUAAACAAACAUCAUUUCUGCAUUUUAUUGGUUGGUUUGGGUUUUUAAAUUACUGUUUAGGGUUUAGAUUUGAUAACUAAACAAAAAUUAUUUUGGUUUUUAGAUUUAAUAACUAAACAAGAAAAAUGGACCAAUACCAUGGACAACAAGGACAAUACCGUGGACAAAACCAUAGUCAAACGAAACAUCAUUUCAGCAUUUUUUUUGGUUGGUUUGGGUUUUCAAAUUACUGUUUAGGGUUUAGAUUUGAUAACUAAACAAAAAUGAUUUUGGUUUGGGUUUUUAAUUAUGUUGUUAGGGUUUAGAUUUGAUAACUAAACAAGAAAGAUAGACAACAGCGUGGACAACAAGAACAAUACCAUGGACAACAAGGACAAUACCGUGGACAAACCAUAGACAAACGAAACAUCAAGAAAGUUAGAGAACACCGUAGACAAUAAAGACAAUCCUCUGUCCAC